UUCUGUGUAUGAAGAUCAUUUACAUAGAGAGACACUUUGCAUGAGAGUGUUUAUAGUGCUGUGAGUUUAACACUUCAUGACUGAGAGCAGAACAGAACAGAAUCUUCAUCAUCACACAAGACAAAACAACAAUGAACAACAUCAUCAUCCUCAUCUGGACUCUCUGUAUAUGUAUUCCAGGUGUCAGUGGGCAGGUGACUGUGACUCAGACUCCCUCUGUAAAAAUGGUUCAGAUUGGUGAAUCAGUCACUAUAAACUGCAAAACAAACACACAAGUGGGCGAUUACUGUGUAGGUUCAUAUACUUGUAUGGCCUGGUACCAACAGAAACCUGGAGAAGCUCCUAAACUCCUGAUUCAUUCAGCAAACCGAAAAGAGUCAAACACACCAUCUAGAUUCAGUGGCAGCGGAUCCAGAACUGAUUUCACUCUGACCAUCAGUGGAGUCCAGACUGAAGAUACAGGAGAUUAUUACUGUCAGAGUUUACACUAUCCAAACAGUAAAUAUGUGUUCACACAGUGAUAAAGAGUCGUACAAAAACCUCCAUCAGUCAGAGUCACAGUGACUGCACUGAUACAGAUGAGAGAA